UACGAAGGGGCUAGCGUUGCUCGGAAUGACUGGGCGUAAAGGGCGCGUAGGCGGCUUGCACCGUCAGAUGUGAAAUUCCUGGGCUUAACCUGGGGGCUGCAUUUGAUACGUGUGGGCUGAGUGCGGAAGAGGGUCGUGGAAUUCCCAGUGUAGAGGUGAAAUUCGUAGAUAUUGGGAAGAACACCAGUGGCGAAGGCGGACUCACUGGCCCGAUACUGACGCUGAGGCACGAAAGCGAUGGGGAAGCA
rnacentral:rRNA from 1 species